GACGAACGCUGGCGGCGUGCUUAACACAUGCAAGUCGAACGGAAAGGCCCUGCUUUUGUGGGGUGCUCGAGUGGCGAACGGGUGAGUAACACGUGAGUAACCUGCCCUUGACUUUAGGAUAACUUCAGGAAACUGGGGCUAAUACCGGAUAGGAGCUCCUGCUGCAUGGUGGUGGUUGGAAAGUUUCGGCGGUUGGGGAUGGACUCGCGGCUUAUCAGCUUGUUGGUGGGGUAGUGGCUUACCAAGGCUUUGACGGGUAGCCGGCCUGAGAGGGUGACCGGCCACAUUGGGACUGAGAUACGGCCCAGACUCCUACGGGAGGCAGCAGUGGGGAAUAUUGCACAAUGGGCGGAAGCCUGAUGCAGCAACGCCGCGUGCGGGAUGACGGCCUUCGGGUUGUAAACCGCUUUCGCCUGUGACGAAGCGUGAGUGACGGUAAUGGGUAAAGAAGCACCGGCUAACUACGUG
rnacentral:rRNA from 1 species